UUAUCAUGUUAAAUUAUUUAAAAAGAAUUUUGAUACUGCCAAAUUUUUAUUUCUCAAUCAGAUGGAUUCACCAGCGCUAUUCGAUGAAAUUUAUUUGGAGGAAUGCCCAAAAACAUCUUCAAAUCCCGUAAAAGAUAAUUCAUAAAAGGGAAGAAAUGGCCCAACAAUAUACUGUCCAUGAUUGGAAGGCUCUAAUUCGCAAAAUUCACCAUUUAGUAUGCCGACUGGCUGGCGAAGAAAUCGAUAAUGUGCGAACUAAAAUUACUUCCACCCUACAUACAUAUGUACAUAGAUAACACCGGCUGCAGCUUUGGAAAUGAAUGAGAAACUAAAGUGCGAGGAAUUUGCCACAGCAACGAAAUGCAGUUCAGAGAGCGUAUGUGAUGUGUUGCGACAUCUGUACACUGACGAAUUCCUCAUUUUGUGUAACUGGUCUACUGGUGUUCAACAUAUUAUAUGAUUCUUUCAUCACUUGUGAACUGGCAAAUUUCGAAAAACAAAUUCGAAAAUCCAUCGAAAUGGGAAUUAAUUUGAAAAUCUAAUUUUUUUUAUGAAUUAAGUUUUGGAUUAGAAUAUUA